GGAGAGAUGUCCGAGUGGUCUAUGGUGAUGGUCUCGAAAACCAUUGUACGGGGAAACCCGUACCGAGGGUUCAAAUCCCUCUCUCUCCGCCA
rnacentral:tRNA from 1 species